UACGGGGGGGGCAAGCGUUGUUCGGAAUUACUAGGCGUAAAGGGCGCGUAGGCGGCUUUUCAAGUCGGGCGUGAAAUCUCCGGGCUUAACCCGGAAGGGUCGUUCGAUACUGUUGAGCUAGAGUGUGGAAGAGGCAACUAGAAUUCCGUGUGUAGCGGUGAAAUGCGUAGAUAUACGGAGGAAUACCUGAGGCGAAGGCGGGUUGCUGGGCCAACACUGACGCUGAAGUGCGAAAGCCAGGGGAGCAAACGGG
rnacentral:rRNA from 1 species